AGAACAAGGGGGGAUGGCUUUUAACUAAAAGAGGAGAUAUUUAUAUUAGAUAUUAGGAAGAAAUUUUUUACUCACAGGAUAGCAAGACACU